GUGGGGAAUCUUAGACAAUGGGCGCAAGCCUGAUCUAGCCAUGCCGUGUGAGCGAUGAAGGCCUUAGGGUUGUAAAGCUCUUUCGUGGGGGAAGAUAAUGACUGUACCCCAAGAAGAAGCCCCGGCUAACUCCGUGCCAGCAGCCGCGGUAAUACGGAGGGGGCUAGCGUUGUUCGGAAUUACUGGGCGUAAAGCGCACGUAGGCGGACUGGAAAGUCAGGGGUGAAAUCCCGGGGCUCAACCCCGGAACUGCCUUUGAAACUCCCAGUCUUGAGUUCGAGAGAGGUGAGUGGAAUUCCGAGUGUAGAGGUGAAAUUCGUAGAUAUUCGGAGGAACACCAGUGGCGAAGGCGGCUCACUGGCUCGAUACUGACGCUGAGGUGCGAAAGCGUGGGGAGCAAACAGGAUUAGAUACCCUUGUAGUCC
rnacentral:rRNA from 1 species